GGUUUCUGCCACUAUUGCCACCAGCAUAUUCAAGUAGUAGGCCAGGGAAACUUUUAAUAGGGCGAUUCCAAGGGCUCAUAUUUUAUUAAAGUGCUGUUUAGAAAGUGAUGGGGUGGGGGAUGGAUGUUGCGGACGCAAGAAGAGGCUCACACAAAAUAGCAACUGCCCAGCUACCCUUCAUCCAAAGUUCUCAGGGUCAAGUUAACUAUCCCACUUAGGCCACCCUGAAUUUGACUCUUUUCAAGACCAGUCCCUGCCAUGUCCUCCUUACAAAUAAGACUCACAGGAAAUUAGACCAGUAAGUGAUGCCUCCCCCACGCUCCCCUCCUCCCCCAUGACUACAAAGUAAAUCUUUCAGAGGUUUGCUUCUCUUCCUAAUACUUUAAUGGACAUGAAGGAGUAAAAUAGAUUGAGAGAAUUUUGUAAAACAGCCCCUCAGAUUUUAAGUUUGGAAGGAUUUGGAUAAAAAGAGUGCAAACAUCAGACCUCUGCAAUCCAGCCUCCAGAAAAGUGUGUGAGCUGGUGGGACUUUUCAGCAGCCUGCUCCAUUUUCAUUGUCGUUGGCUCCACCUAGAACCCUAAUGCUGAGAGGCAGAAUGGCACUGGGGAGAGCCCUUAGCCACCUCCUGAUGAAGUUAGAGCUGCACUAGCUUACUAGGCAAAAUCCACCCCUGUCACCACCCAGUAUGGUAACUGGAGGAAACAGCUGGAACUGGUGACCUCAGAGAAGGACGUGCAGACAUUUCCAAUGUGGUCAGCAUCGCUUUAGUUCUUUUAUUUCUUACUAAUCCAGAGGAAAAAAACAGCUAGUUCAUGUGAAAUUCAAAAAAAAUCUCAAGUUUUAGGUAACAGAGUUCUUUCCCUGGUUCAUCAGUUUGUUUAUGAUAAAGAUCUGCUUCCUAUGUGAAAAUAAAACAAAGGGGUAUUUGUGCAGGCUUCUCAUACCCUUGAAGGUGAGCUCUUAAGCCAUUUCAUCAGUUUUAUUAUCCCACCUCAGUAGUUUUUAUGGUCAAAGAUUUUAUAAGGAGUUCCCAUCGUGGCGCAGUGGUUAAUGAAUCUGACUAGGAACCAUGAGGUUGUGGGUUUGAUCCCUGCCCUUGCUCAGUGGGUUAACGAUCUGGCAUUGCUGUGAGCUGUGGUGUAGGUUGCAGACGUGGCUCGGAUCCAGCGUUGCUGUGGCUCUGGCGUAGGUCGGUGGCUGCAGCUCCAAUUCGACCCCUAUCCUGGGAAUCUACAUAUGCUGCAGGAGCAGCCCAAAGAAAUAGCAAAAAGACAAAAAAAAAAAAAAAAAAAAAAAAAAAAAAAAAAAAUUUUUUUAAUUUUUAGCAUUUUUAUUGUGAAAUAUACAUUCAAAUGCAUAAAGCAGUUAUUCAGUAUAAUGAGUAGUUAUAAAAGAAACCUCCAUGUGACCAACCAGGUCAAGAAAUGGGACAUUGCCAGCACCCAAAAGUCCCCCGGUGACCUUCCUAAACACAAUUCAGUGCCUCCCUUCUACAGGGCACCAUUAUUCUAACUUUUGUGACCACCAUUUCCUUGCUUUUCUCUAUUGUUUGACCACAAACAGGCAUCCCCAAACAAUAUAUGCCCUUUCUUCUGGAACAACAUAUGUAGCCUGUUGUGCGUACUGCUUUUGCUCAACAUCAUUUUUAAUCCAUAUGUUGUUCAGGUUGUUCCUAUAACUCUAAUUUGUUCAUUUUAUUUGCUGCAUAUGACAGUGUUUCAUUGUAGCAAUAUGUUGUAAUUUAUUUGGCCAUUGUGUUGUUGAUUUUUAUCUGAGUUGUUUCCAGUUUGGAACUGUUACAAAUGCUGCUGUAAAUAUUCUUCCUAUAUGUAUUCCAUCACAUCUCUAUGAGUUUCUGUGUGAUAUAUACCCAGGAAAUGGUUAUGUGUAUUAUCAAUUGGCAUGAAUAAUGCCCGGCUGUUUUCUAAAGUGUUAACACUCACACUCAACCAUGUAUGAGCCUCAUUGCUCCACACCCUCGACCACAUUUGGCACAGUCAGUAUUUUCAGCUUUGCCAGCCUUGGUGGGUGUGUAGUAGGAUGUCAUUGUGGUUUUCCUGAUUACUGGUGCUCUUAAGUCUUUUUCAUAUGUCACCCAGCCAUUUGGAUUUCUCCUCUUGUGAAGUGUGUUAUUGUUUUCCUGCCUCAUCUCUGAGAUGCCCUAUUUUCCAAUAUCCUUUUAUAGUCCACAUUUGAAUAAUGUAUUUCAGGUAAGAUAAUGCUAGCAAAUGAAUUAUACUUGGGACAGAUUCUUUCCAAAAUAAGCAUAAUUAUGGUUUACCUAGUUAUCUCUUAUGAAGUUUGAGGAUAGACUUCUUAAAAGUAGGACUAUAAGACCAUAUUUUUACACAUUCUAAAAUAAUGCUGUGCUUUCAGCUAGUACAUUGUUGCUAGGCUCCCUCGAGUUGGUUUGGGAUUUGUUAUGACUUAGUUUCCCUCAGGCAUGUGAAGUCUGUAUUAAUUCUCUUGAAUCUGUGUAACUAAACGGUUGUUCAUGGCUUUAUAUUUUAUAGACAAUUGUGUAACAAAUUGUUUUAUCAGCACUUUGCACUUUAUUUCCAAGGUACAUUCAUUUUUUAAAACUCACAGUGGCCUUUUCUUUCCUCCUCAAGUUCCUGUUAAAAUACAUCAUUUUGGUUUUUUUUUUUUGUUUGUUUUAGAGUCACACCUAUGGCAUAUGUAAGUUCCCAGGCUAGGGGUUGAAUCAGAGCUGAAGCCACCGGCCUACACCCCAGCCACGGCAACGCAGGAUCCAAGCCAAGUCUACGACCUACACCACAGCUCUCGGCAACAGUGGAUCCUUAACCCACUGAGCAAGGCCAGGGAUCAAACCCACAUUCUCAUAGAUACUAGUCAGGUUCUUAACCCGCUGAGCCACAACAGGAAACUCCUAUUUUGUUUGUUUUUCAACACCACUCAUUAAUAUCAAAUACGUACCAUCCAUGUUUCUACCUGGCAAAUUUUCCAGACAUAUUCUAUUUGACUGUUUUUAUCAUUUUCUUAUCUGUCAGUUUUUUGUUUAGAGUCAGUGAUAUUUUAAGACUGGAGGAAGAUGAGACCCAGAGAAAUUAAAUGACUUACCCAGGGUCAGAAGAGCAAGUGAAAAGGAAGCCUGGACGCAGCCCCAAGUCUUCAAAUAGAGCACGCUUGCUUCAUAGCACACUGACCCUCAGUCUUCUGGAGAAGUGAGGUAAACCAAUUCCCCUGCUCUAUAAAGUGUUGUUCAGUUGUACACGGCAGACCUCAUAUUCUGCCAUUGGGUAGGGUUACUUUAUUUUAAGCCUAAUAGCUUUAGGAUCAGAUUAAGAUUGAUAUAAAUAAAAAUAAAAGAAUAAAAAUUUUAAAGAUUAAUAUAAAUACUAGUGCUAAAAAGGUGUUACAUGAAAACUUGCUGUUAAAAAAUAAGGUUUCCCUACUCUCCCCUACAUCCGUUACAGCCAAUCUGUCACCAGGCCCCAUUGCCUCUUCAGAGAAUUACCAUACUUUCUCAAUAUCUGGGGGGAAAAAAAAAAAGUUACACAAAGGAAAGCAGUGGUUGGUACUGUCAUAUGAUGUAGGAAAGGCCCUUGGAUUUGGUGAUCACCUCCCUAAUAAUUUCAGAAUGCUGUAAAAAUAUUGGAGAAUAUCAAAAAUGACAUUUUUAAAUACAAAGAACAAAUAAAUCUAGAAAACUUGUCAAUUGU
rnacentral:lncRNA from 1 species